rnacentral:rRNA from 1 species
GUGGGGAAUAUUGGACAAUGGGCGAAAGCCUGAUCCAGCCAUGCCGCGUGUGUGAAGAAGGUCUUCGGAUUGUAAAGCACUUUAAGUUGGGAGGAAGGGCAGUAAGUUAAUACCUUGCUGUUUUGACGUUACCGACAGAAUAAGCACCGGCUAACUUCGUGCCAGCAGCCGCGGUAAUACGAAGGGUGCAAGCGUUAUCCGGAAUUACUGGGCGUAAAGCGCGCGUAGGUGGUGUUGUAAGUUGGAGGUGAAAUCCCCGGGCUCAACCUGGGAACUGCCUCAAAAACUGCAUGACUGGAGUACGGUAGAGGGUAGUGGAAUUUCCUGUGUAGCGGUGAAAUGCGUAGAUAUAGGAAGGAACACCAGUGGCGAAGGCGACUACCUGGACUGAUACUGACACUGAGGUGCGAAAGCGUGGGGAGCAAACAGGAUUAGAAACCCGUGUAGUCC